rnacentral:sRNA from 1 species
AAUUCUUAUUCUUUCCAUCACUGUUGUCCGACAGAAUUAUGAAAAUAAU